rnacentral:tRNA from 1 species
UGUCCCCUUCGUCUAGAGGCCUAGGACACCGCCCUUUCACGGCGGUAACAGGGGUUCGAAUCCCCUAGGGGACGCCAU